AUGUGUUGCCCCUCUAAACCUUUGGUUAGGGAGUUUCUACAACUCUUGGACUCAUUUAAUCUGACCCAGUCUGUCAAUGGCCCUACACACAAGCAGGGCCACACUCUUGACCUCAUCUUGUCAUCUGGGCUCUCAGUGAUCGGCGUUGAAAUGAUUGAUGCGUGUCCGUCUGACCAUAAUUUCAUUUUGUUUAAUAUUCCCACCCCUCACUCAUCCCCCAAACAAACCCAGGCUCCCCCUCUUAUACGUCCUAUAACACCUGAAACUGCUCCCCAAUUCUCAGCUGCCUUCGCUGCAUCUCCUUUAGCCACCUUUGAUGAAAGUUCUCCUCAUAGCAAUAAUCCUGAUGAGCUUCUUGCAUGUUUUAAUUGUGCUUGUACCAACAUAAUGGACUCAAGUGCUCCUUUAAAAUGUAGACGGCAAAAAUUUAGAACUCAGCCUUGGCUAAAUAAGGUCACUCGUGCCGUCAGGCAGGAAUGCAGGAAAGCAGAACGAAAAUGGAAGAAAGAUAAGCUCCACGUCUCUUAUCAAGUGUUUAGAGAUUGUUUAAAUAACUAUCAGCGCACCAUCAAGGUAGAAAGAGCAAAUUAUUUCUCCAUGAUUAUUAACAAGAAGUCUGGUAAUCCUAAAGUUCUAUUCAAUACAAUCAACUCUGUCCUGCAUCCCACCACAUCAGUCAUAUCGGAGACUGCCCCACACACGUCUGAGGAUUUUCAAAAAUUCUUUACUGAAAAAAUUAAUGAUAUCCGAGCACAUAUCCCGCUCCCAUCCCAAGACCCCUCUGAACCACCUACAUGUUCAUUCCUUUUUUCAGAAUUUAAACCGGUUUCAUUAUCCCAUCUCACUGAUAUAAUAAUGCACAUGAAACCAACUACGUACCCCUUGGAUAUGUUACCUACACCAUUUCUCAGAGAUGUGCUGAAGACAGUCGGCCCCAACAUCCUUGCUAUUGUAAAUGGCAGGAUCUCAUAUGGAACUGUUCCUGACUUGUUUAAACAAGCUGUUGUCCAGCCGCUUCUAAAAAAAACCUGGUUUAGAUCCGUCAGUUCUUGGCAAUUUUAG
rnacentral:lncRNA from 1 species